rnacentral:rRNA from 1 species
CACGUAGGGCGCAAGCGUUGUCCGGAAUUAUUGGGCGUAAAGAGCUCGUAGGUGGUUUGUUACGUCUGCUGUGAAAACCUAGGGCUUAACCCUGGGCUUGCAGUGGAUACGGGCAGACUAGAGGUAGGUAGGGGAGAAUGGAAUUCCUGGUGUAGCGGUGAAAUGCGCAGAUAUCAGGAGGAACACCGGUGGCGAAGGCGGUUAGCUGGGCAGUUGCUGACACUGAGGCGCGACAGCGUGGGGAGCAAACAGG